AUUGGCCACUGGCGCUGUCGCGCAUCCCGAACUCCGCGGCCUGACACCGCCUCCCCCGCCGCCUCUCGCCUCUCGCCCGUCGCGGCGGGGGCGCGGGAGGGGAUCCCCGGGGCGCCCCGGGACAGGCGGCCAGCUCGGGAUCGGAAGCGAGCAACAGGCUAGUUCUGCAGAGAACCAUAUCUGUAUUCACAGGACCCAUUUCUACAUAGAGGUUGCAAAAUAGAAGAUGUUAUCAGGAUUGAUGUGGUUGCUCCCAUCUGCUCCCCCAAAUGAUGAGGUCUGCAGUACCAUUGGAAUAAAGUCUACUCCUACAGAACUCUACAGAAACAAUCCAGGAUUCUUUUAUGCUUUUCCAGUCCUCUCUUGUUUUCUUUCCCCUCCGCCCAUACCCACCUCUCAUGGGCUACCAUCUGUGUACCCUCAGAGAGUCAACAAGAGAAGAGCAAGGGCCAGAAACCAGAACACAGGUGAAAAUAGCUAG
rnacentral:lncRNA from 1 species